AUACACUUGAACGAAAAAGAGUAGAGGCAUGCUAAAAUUCUAUAGCCAUCCCUGCAGUAAUAUAGAAGAAUUAAUAUCUGAAGCUUCUCACAAUGAUAAUAAAGCGGAUAUAAAGCAAAGUUGCCAAGCUGAUUCUAUCGAUUACCCCCCAUGCCUUCGAGGGCACCUGAGUCUAAACCAAAUACCUAUAGAGCUAAAUAACAGAAAGAUACUGGAGAAAAGAUGCAAUAAUCUAAUAAACAUGCGGAAUAGAUCGAGCCCUAAAGCCCCUGACGCGCGCGUUUCACCCACUUAGCUCGUCAGAGGGGGAACCGGUAACCGGGAAAUGCCGUGUUUAAAAAGGAGAAGGUGAGUAUUGAUUGGACAGGGUGAAUGAUUACGAUUGGAUAUAGUUAGAUGACGUAAUUAAAGGUGUUUGCCUCACCUUCCCGGUCAAAAGGACGAACAAAAAUUAACCCUUAAGGAUAAUAAAAUUAAGAGACCUAAUGAUAAUGGAGAACUUGCAGUGACAAAUGUGGCAUAAUGAAACGAGACUUGAAAUAUACGCAACCAUACUAGCUGUCUAAAUGAUCUAGACACAUGCGAGUUUAAAAAUAAGGUCGCGAUGUAAGAAUUAACAGACAGAUGGUCGCAAUGUAAGAUGUAUAAUACAUAGAUAUAUGGCAAACUAAAAGAGAUAUAAGAACAGAAUAGUUAUUAAAGAGAGAGAGACAAUUAAUCAAACUCUCAAUUUAAUAAAGAUAAAACCCGGAGGAGGGGAAGGGACAGGAGGAAUAAUAUAGACCUAUUCGAAACAAUGAACUGCUAGAAUCUCAGAGAAUACUAAUAACAGAUAUGUGAGAUAUAAUAAAAUAAAAAAACGCCCAGGCAGUGAGGUUAAUUCUGGAUUGUUGAAUAAUCAAAAAUAGAGGUUAAGUAACUAGUUCACCUUUAGAAAGAUUAGAAUUUCAAAAUUGCUCUAGUUCAGGGCUUCCCAAACUUUUAUGGGCCACUCACUUUUAAUGCAUAUUUUAAAAAUUAAUAAACUUGGCACAUCAUGACACUCCAUUUUAGAGGCAUAAAAUUGGCACACCAUGUCAAUCCGCCUUAGAGGCAUACAAUUGGCACACCAUGGUAAUCCGCUUUAGAGGCAUACAAUUGGCACACCAUGGCAAUCAGCUUUAGAUGCAUAAACUUGGCACAUCAUGGCAGCUUUAGAUGCAUUAAUUUGACACACCAUGACAAUCGGUUUUACAGAGAAUAAAAUUGGCACACCA